GACAGCUAAUCCAGGAGGGAGGCUGGAGAGAGAUGAAGACGUCGAGUCUAGAUAUGAAUUAGUUCAGUCCCAUGGAGUCCUUGAGCCAGGCUGAGGGAAAGCAGCGCAAGUUCAGGGCUAUGACUUCAACCUGAGACCAAAAGGAGGACUACUUAUGGAAAGUGCUCAGAACACCACCUCCGAACACAACAAGAAGUCCCGGAUUUCUACCCGGCAAAACCCUACCUCUGAAAUAUUAGAAGGUCUGUGCAUUUGAUCCCAGUACCUUCUGUACCUAAAGCUCCAUUUUAGGUCCUAGUCUAUAAGGAAGCACUUUAAUCAGAAAGCAAGUGCUUCCGGGUCACUGCCAUCCCUAAAGGGUCACUAUGACAACUUCUGGCGAAUCCGAGUUCUGCAUUGCCCUGGCCUCCAGGGACCUGGUGCCAGAUUGGUCAAAAGACCCAAAGAUCCUUGAAUCUUUGGGGGAAAGAGGCUCUCUGGUCAGGAAGACUUCUCAAGCCAGGAAUGUACACCUCUUUGCUAGCCUAGCUGUGGGUAAAAAGCAGAUACACUGAGGUUGGAGAGAGGGCUGAGUCAGGUAUUUAGUGGAGUUGUGUUUGGUUCCCAACAACCAAUGGCAGUUUAAACCAUCUAUAAAUAACUCCAGUUCCCAGGACCUGUCGCUCUCUUCUGGCCUCUGUGGGCACCAGGCACAAGUAGGGGGUGCAGCUGAAACAUACACACAUAUAAAAUAAAAAUAA
rnacentral:lncRNA from 1 species